GAGAGUUUUCUUUUCAUAAGUCCUAACGUAUCACCACCAUAUAAUGCAUAUAUAUGGUUUGAGAAGAGAGUUAAAGAGAGAGAAAUGAUCCCUAUGCCUUCUCCGGAGACUCAUCAUCACUUCAUUUUCGAUCGAUCGAAGGAUGUUGAAGAACAAGUGAAGCGCAUAGAUCAGUACAGCUUAUACAUGCUGGCAAAUGAUUGAUGAAGAUCAGAGAAAUAUCAAUCUGGAUUUACUAGUUGAUGCAUGGUAUUGGGUUUGGGUUUGAGUAUGAUGACAUCUCUUUUCUUAAGGUUGCUUUGAAGAAAAGGAUGGGAGAUGCCCAUGCCUUGAGUCUGGAGGCAAGUAAAUGAUCACCAGUUCCCCCUUUCAAAACUUCAAUCUCUUCGUCGUUAAACACGAAUACUGUUACAUGAAUCCAUCUUUUAUUUUUUAUACAAAAACUCAGGGGUUUCUUUCAUCGUUUAUGCUUUUAUUAUCUGUAGUGUAUAGCUAGGGAAUCCCCAAAAAGAUAGAAAGAAAAGCAUCUAGGCAAAAGAUUAAUUAUAUCGUUUGCAUGUUUUAACAGAAACCCAUAUGUUCAGAUCAGCUGUAUAGAUGUUAAUAUAUGUGAUACAUCUGUGUUUAUGCUUCUAUGCAUCAGUUGCAAAUUCUAAUGUUUAGGAUAGUCACAUUGUGUUAUAUUCUUCUGAAGACGCUGAUGUUUCAUAUCACAAAUCAUUGGAUAUAAAUAUGUCUAAUGUAAAAAGAAAUGUCUAAUGUAAUGCUCACAAGGUUUACCCUUGUAAACGUACUUAUAGAAAAUUCA